UGUCCAUCCACUCAUCUUUUGAAAUAUCCUCAGGCUUUUCAGCGUAACUCAUCAUGAAGAAGCUACAAAACCAGUAACAUUAAUUUUAAGAGGAUGAUGCUUCGGUUCGGUGACCCAAUGACAUUUUUCCAAGAGACUACGGAAGAUCAUGAUGGGCAAUCAUGACAGAAAUGUGCUUUUAAAGGAUAAAGGUCACAAAACAAACUGACUGAAAAAUAUGUUUUGAUGUGUCUGUUUUUCCAUUAAGGCUUAAUAAAAA